rnacentral:rRNA from 1 species
CCUACGGGUGGCAGCAGUCGAGAAUCAUUCACAAUGGGGGAAACCCUGAUGGUGCGACGCCGCGUGGGGGAAUGAAGGUCUUCGGAUUGUAAACCCCUGUCAUGUGGGAGCAAAUUAAAAAGGUAGUACCACAAGAGGCAGAGACGGCUAACUUUGUGCCAGCAGCCGCGGUAAUACAGAGGUCGCAAGCGUUGUUCGGAAGCACGGGGCGUAAAGCGUGCGUAGGCUGUUCCGUAAGUCUUUUGUGAAAGGCGCGGGCUCAACCCGCGGACGGCACAUGAUACUGCGAGACUAGAGUAAUGGAGGGGUAACCGGAAUUCCCGGUGUAGCAGGGAAAUGCGUAGAUAUCGGGAGGAACACUCGUGGCGAAGGCGGGUUCCUGGACAUUAACUGACGCUGAGGCACGAAGGCCAGGGGAGCGAAAGGGAUUAGAUACCCGAGUAGUC